CUCAACUGCAAGAGGCAUUCCUUCCUCUUUUACUAAUCCUCCUCAGCACAGACCCUUUACGGGUGUUGGGCUGGGGGACGGUCAGGUCUUUCCCUUCCCACGAGGCCAUAUUUCAGACUAUCACAUGGGGAGAAACCUUGGACAAUACCUGGCUUUCCUAGGCAGAGGUCCCUGCGGUCUUCCGCAGUUUUUGUGUCCCUGGGUACUUGAGAUUAGGGAGUGGUGAUGACUCUUAAGGAGCAUGCUGCCUUCAAGCAUCUGUUUAACAAAGCACAUCUUGCACUGCCCUUAAUCCAUUCAACUCUGAGUUGACACAGCACAUGUUUCAGAGAGCACGGGGUUGGGGGUAAGGUCACAGAAUCUCAAGGCAGAAGAAUUUUUCUUAGUACAGAACAAAAUGGAGUCUCCUAUGUCUACUUCUUUCCACACAGACACGGUAACAAUCUGAUCUCUCUUGCUUUUCCCCACAAGUACCCGUUGAACAUUCCAGGGAACUGAUCCAUAAAUUUAUUUCCAAAAUGUUUUAACUUGGGAACCAAUUACUGGAUAAAUGCUAAGUUACCCUGGUAUAAAUCUGAUAAAAGUGAAUUUUUCAAGCCACACGGUCUCCUUUGUUCAGUAUAUUUUUAAUUUAGUGGUCUCUCUUAAGGGAGGAAUUGAAAUCAACCCUCUGCAACUGGGUCUUAGGCUUAUCUCCAAGAAAUAAAAUCUCACAAGGUUUUGAGGCCUACAGUCUGAAUUCUGACACUGCACAGAACUUAUACAGACAGGGUAGAGACAGGAGACUUACAGGUCUGGUAGUGAGGGAGGCUAGGGUGCGUGGUUUGAAUGUCAAGGGCGUUCUUGGGCUUGCUGCAAACCUCAUUCUGAUUCUUCCAUUUUUUAACUGUUGAACUGAAGUCUAUUUCUCUGCAGGGUUAAGUUAUUCCAGACCAAGGAGAGAAUGAUUCGCUCUUGCCACCCUCCUCAGAUGUGGAGCCACCGGGCAGAUGGUUGGCACUGUGCACAUGGCACUUGCAUACACACACACACACAUGCACACACGCACACACACUCACACACACCUCAACUAAUGUAAAGGUCCCAACAUAAACAUUAGUUCUCACAAGUGCUCCAAGGAUUUUAAAGGCUUUGGUGCUGCAAAAGAUAUUGAGUCAGCUUGUGACAGCUACAAUCCUGCUCCUGUUUCAGGUUUAAGAAAAAAAGAAAGAAAGAAAAAAGGAAACCAUACUCAUUUCUUCCUUCCACAGCUCAGUGAAAUUCCAAAAAAUUAGUAAGAAUCCCUUAGCUUGCCUCAUUGGUAGAAAUGUCUGGUUGGGACAUUCCUUUGGCCACUUUCGCUGAAAACUGCAUACCUCUGGGACUAAAGCAUCCCCACUCCAGUCUCCUGUCUCAAAACUGACUGAGAAUUGUCUACAAAGAUAGGAGGACUCUGUGCAAAAACCCCCCGGAGAAAACAACACAAAACCACACCUGACCCUGCAUAGAGCUUGUAUUUCCAGAGAGAAAACACAGUCUCUGAGAUAGUAUUAGGUUGGUGCAAAAGUAAUUGCGUUUUUUAUAAUUACUUUUAAUGGCAAGAUCUUUUUUUUUUUUUUUUUUUUUUUUU
rnacentral:lncRNA from 1 species